CAGCAGCCGCGGGAAUACGGAGGGUGCAAGCGUUAUCCGGAUUUAUUGGGUUUAAAGGGUCCGUAGGCGGAUCUGUAAGUCAGUGGUGAAAUCUCACAGAUUAACUGUGAAACUGCCAUUGAUACUGCAGGUCUUGAGUAAAUUUGAAGUGGCUGGAAUAAGUAGUGUAGCGGUGAAAUGCAUAGAUAUUACUUAGAACACCAAUUGCGAAGGCAGGUCACUAAGAUUUAACUGACGCUGAUGGACGAAAGCGUGGGGAGCGAACAGGAUUAGAUACCCCUGUAGUCCCUGUCUCUUAUAC
rnacentral:rRNA from 1 species